rnacentral:rRNA from 1 species
GACAGAGGGGGCAAGCGUUGCUCGGAAUUACUGGGCGUAAAGAGCGUGUAGGCGGCUUGGUAGGUCCGCUGUGAAAACUCGAGGCUCAACCUCGAGAUGUCGGCGGAAACCACUUGGCUAGAGUCCGGAAGAGGAGAGUGGAAUUCCCGGUAGUAGCGGUGAAAUGCGCAGAUAUCGGGAAGAACACCUAUGGCGAAGGCAGCUCGCUGGGACGUAACUGACGCUGAGACGCGAAAGCGUGGGGAGCAAACAGG